AUAUAACAAUCUGGGUAAUGCUCUAAAAGAUGCUGGUAGAGUGGAGGAAGCAAUUCAUUGCUAUCGUCAAUGCCUCUCUCUUCAACCUAACCACCCACAAGCGCUUUCUAAUAUAGGGAUCAUUUAUAUGCAGUGGAACAUGAUGAGUGCGGCUGCACAAUGUUUUAAAGCGACUUUAGCUGUGACUACAGGGCUCUCAGCUCCUUUAAACAAUCUAGCCAUAAUAUACAAG
rnacentral:misc_RNA from 1 species